CUACAAAGGAAUUGACGGGACCCGCACAAGCAGCGGAGCGUGUGGUUUAAUUCGAUGCUACACGAAGAACCUUACCAGGGUUUGACAUGCAAGUGGUAGUGAUCUGAAAAGUGAACGACCCUUCGGGGAGCUUGCACAGGUGCUGCAUGGCUGUCGUCAGCUCGUGUCGUGAGAUGUUCGGUUAAGUCCGCUAACGAGCGCAACCCUCACUGUGUGUUAUAUGUGUCACACGGGACUGCCGGUCAUAAACCGGAGGAAGGUGGGGAUGACGUCAAGUCAGCAUGGCCUUUAUGUCCUGGGCUACACACACGCUACAAUGGCCAGUACAAUUGGUAGCUAAGCCGCGAGGUGGAGCCAAUCCCGAAAAGCCGGUCUCAGUCCGGAUUGGAGUCUGCAACUCGACUCCAUGAAGUUGGAAUCGCUAGUAAUCGCGGAUCAGCACGCCGCGGUGAAUACGUUCCCGGGCCUU
rnacentral:rRNA from 1 species